GUUGUCGUGUUUCUUCAAUAUAUAACAAGAUUUUUAUUUUAAACCUUUCCAAGCUAUCACAUGUACAACACUCUAUGUAUCACCUUACGCUGCUUAAAGUUCUACAACUCAACAACAACAAAAGCUUAAAUCAGGUAAAUGGAACUUGAGCUUCAUUUAGUCACAGGAAUUCUUAACUUGAAAAGAUUUCAUCAGAGUGAUUUUAAGUUAU
rnacentral:lncRNA from 1 species